CUUCCCUCCAGUUUGGCCGCUAAAAACAGUGGAUAAUGAUCUUAUUUCCUAUUAAAUGGUCUUCUCAUUGGGGGUCAUGGGGAUGCUGCCUUUUCAAUGUGUAUGUUUAGGUGCUGUCCUUUCUCCAAACACAAACUGCCCAGGCCGGACCAGAGCAAGAGGAGGAAAUCCGCUGUUAUUUUCCCACUCAUCCCUCAGAGCAGACUGGCUAUUUCUGAUGUUCACAUCUGGACUGGGUCUCAAGUGUCAAGAAGAGUGACCAUGUGAGCCAACAGAACAAGUGUUUACAGCUGCAAGAUCUUUUUCUGUUUUAUCUCAUUAAGUAUUCUAUGCACAAUAUGAAAUAAAGUUAAAGACGACUGUUAAAA